rnacentral:rRNA from 1 species
AUUGAACGCUGGCGGCAGGCUUAACACAUGCAAGUCGAACGAUGAAGAUAUAGCUUGCUAUAUCGGAUUAGUGGCGGACGGGUGAGUAACACUUAGGAAUCUACCUUUUAGCGGGGGAUAGCUCGGGGAAACUCGAAUUAAUACCGCAUAAUUUCUACGGAAUAAAGAGGGCUUUUAGCUCUCACUAGAAGAUGAGCCUAAGUAAGAUUAGCUAGUUGGUGGGGUAAAAGCCUACCAAGGCGACGAUCUUUAGCUGGUCUGAGAGGAUGAUCAGCCACACUGGGACUGAGACACGGCCCAGACUCCUACGGGAGGCAGCAGUGGGGAAUAUUGGACAAUGGGGGCAACCCUGAUCCAGCCAUGCCGCGUGUGUGAAGAAGGCCUUUUGGUUGUAAAGCACUUUAAGCAGUGAAGAAGACCUAUUGGUUAAUACCCAAAUAGCGGAUGACAUUAACUGCAGAAUAAGCACCGGCUAACUCUGUGCCAGCAGCCGCGGUAAUACAGAGGGUGCAAGCGUUAAUCGGAAUUACUGGGCGUAAAGCGAGCGUAGGUGGUUAAAUAAGUCAGAUGUGAAAGCCCUGGGCUCAACCUAGGAACGGCAUCUGAAACUAUUUAACUAGAGUAGGUGAGAGGGAAGUAGAAUUUCAGGUGUAGCGGUGAAAUGCGUAGAGAUCUGAAGGAAUACCGAUGGCGAAGGCAGCUUCCUGGCAUCAUACUGACACUGAGGCUCGAAAGCGUGGGUAGCAAACAGGAUUAGAUACCCUGGUAGUCCACGCCGUAAACGAUGUCUACUAGCCGUUGGGGAACUUGAUUUCUUAGUGGCGCAGCUAACGCAAUAAGUAGACCGCCUGGGGAGUACGGCCGCAAGGUUAAAACUCAAAUGAAUUGACGGGGGCCCGCACAAGCGGUGGAGCAUGUGGUUUAAUUCGAUGCAACGCGAAGAACCUUACCUGGUCUUGACAUACACAGAAUCUAGCAGAGAUGCAAGAGUGCCUUCGGGAAUUGUGAUACAGGUGCUGCAUGGCUGUCGUCAGCUCGUGUCGUGAGAUGUUGGGUUAAGUCCCGCAACGAGCGCAACCCUUAUCCUUAGUUGCCAGCACAUAAUGGUGGGGACUCUAAGGAGACUGCCAGUGACAAACUGGAGGAAGGCGGGGACGACGUCAGUCAUCAUGGCCCUUACGACCAGGGCUACACACGUGCUACAAUGGUAAGUACAAAGGGAAGCAACACAGCGAUGUGAAGCCAAUCUCAAA